rnacentral:rRNA from 1 species
CCCUAUGGGGUGCAGCAGGCGAGAAAACUUUGCAAUGUGCGAAAGCACGACAAGGUUAAUCCGAGUGGCCUCUGCUGAAGAGGUCUUUUGACAGUCCUAGAAACACUGUCGAAUAAGGGGUGGGCAAGUUCUGGUGUCAGCCGCCGCGGUAAAACCAGCACCUCAAGUGGUCAGGAUGAUUAUUGGGCCUAAAGCAUCCGUAGCCGGAUCCAUAAGUUUUCGGUUAAAUCUAUGCGCUCAACGUAUAGGCUGCCGGAAAUACUGUGGAUCUAGGGAGUGGGAGAGGUAGACGGUACUCGGUAGGAAGAGGUAAAAUUCACUAAUCUAUCGAUGACCACCUGUGGCGAAGGCGGUCUACCAGAACACGUCCGACGGUGAGGGAUGAAAGCUGGGGGAGCAAACCGGAUUAGAUACCCGGGUAGUCCCAGCUGUAAACAAUGCAAACUCAAUGAUGCAUCGGGUUGAACCCGGUGCAGUGUUGCAGGGAAGCCGUUAAGUUUGCCGCCUGGGAAGUACGUACGCAAGUAUGAAACUUAAAGGAAUUGGCGGGGGAGCACCACAAGGGGUGAAGCCUGCGGUUCAAUUGGAGUCAACGCCAGAAAUCUUACCCGGGGAGACAGCAGAAUGAAGGUCAAGCUGGAGACUUUACCAGACAAGCUGAGAGGUAGUGCAUGGCC